rnacentral:rRNA from 1 species
GAUGAACGCUGGCGGCGUGCCUAAUACGUGCAAGUCGAGCGAACAGACGAGGAGCUUGCUCCUUUGACGUUAGCGGCGGACGGGUGAGUAACACGUAGGUAACCUACCUAUAAGACUGGGAUAACUUCGGGAAACCGGAGCUAAUACCGGAUAAUAUUUCGAACCGCAUGGUUCGAUAGUGAAAGAUGGCUUUGCUAUCACUUAUCGAUGGACCUGCGCCGUAUUAGCUAGUUGGUAAGGUAACGGCUUACCAAGGCAACGAUACGUAGCCGACCUGAGAGGGUGAUAGGCCACACUGGAACUGAGACACGGUCCAGACUCCUAAGGGAGGCAGCAGUAGGGAAUCUUCCGCAAUGGGCGAAAGCAUGACGGAGCAACGCCGCGUGAGUGAUGAAGGUCUUCGGAUCGUAAAACUCUGUUAUUAGGGAAGAACAAACGUGUAAGUAACUGUGCACGUCUUGACGGUACCUAAUCAGAAAGCCACGGCUAACUACGUG